rnacentral:misc_RNA from 1 species
CAUAUUCACGACGACUUGCCCGGGACAAUGGUGAAUAUGAAUAAGCGCGACUCGUCGCGCGACGCCAAUAUUAUUCAUGGUAAUUAUUAGCAAUAAUUAAUCUGUAAUCAUAAUAGAUUAUAUCCGGGGCUUAUUAAUAAGCCGCUGACUCGGAAUUUAUAAUUGUCACCUUUUUCGGCAGCGCGCAUUCGCGUCACGCCUUUUUCGUCGGCGGCGCGAUCGAUCGAUUAAUUAAAAUCAGUGCGUCGACAUUGACGACAACAAUGCGACAAUGAUGGCAAGGGGGACAAAAGACGAUGAAUUCCGAGAUGUUCCAACGCGAAGAUUAGCGCCGCGUUUUAAAGAAGUAAUCUAUGGUUUACUGCACGCCCUCGUUGUUCGUAAUCCGGUGUUUUGUUCGGUCGGAGGGAAAGAGAGAUUCGCUUAAAUCCUGCUUAUACGUACCGCGGAGAUAGCUGCAGGGGUUGGUUCUCUAGCUCGUCUCUCGAAAAACGAGAGGCGCGAACGCCGAGAGGCAAAGCAACAAUUUACACGGAGGCGAAAUAAACAGGGAAUUGGUUAAAAACGUCCGAGUCCUUAUCGCUAAAUUGCACGAUAAUCGAUAAAGACUUCAUAAACGUUCAACAGUAAUGGAAAUCGGAAAAACAGGGGGACGGGUUUAAAUGUCGCAUUCACGUCACUGUCAUUGCCGUACGGAUGGUUCGUUGGAGGACCAGAGAGAAUGGUUCUUUUUUAACGCAAGAGAGAUUGAAACGCGCCGCGCUUUUACCUUUUUUUUUUUUACAGUGUCCUGUAUUACAGCCACUCGCACGCGCGUAUUGUUUCGUGAAACGCGUUCGUCGCGGCAAAGCAGUGACGUUUUAUCUCCCCCAAACAAUCACCGAGGGGGAGAUGAUCGAAAAAAUGUAUCACGCUAAAAAUCCCCGCGAAAGUCUCGCCCUCCGUGAGGUGACGGGCCGGAAAACGGAGAGCCUUCUGCCCUUCAUCUCGGUUGUCGGUCACGUAAUCUCGUCGUCUUCGUCGUGCAAAUCCCCGCGCCACGUCCGUCAAUGACCCUGGCCCGCAUCGUGUCGCGCGGUAUCGGAAAUUUGCAUUGGAAAAUAAAUCGCCCGCUCCCGCGAAGGUCGCCCGUUCCGGAAAAUCAGGUUUGCGCGAAGAGCGGCGGCGGCGUCACGCAUUAACGGACCCCGUGAAAGUGUCCGGGUUCGCUGAGGUUUGGAACCUGUCCGAGCGGGGAAAAUUACCUGCACGUAAUAGCAAGAGGGAAAACAGAAACGAAAGCAAACGUCGUCGAUCGCGACGGUGCGGCGCGGCGCCGGGAGAGCAAGCAAGUCUCUCGAGUGCCGCACGAGAACCUAACGACUCUCGAGAGUCGAGCCCGAGUCCCGCCCGAGUCACGAUUUUCAUGGAGUUGCUGCUGCUGCUGCUGCUGCUGCCGCGGCGGAAAGAGGCGAGCAUAACGCUCGCUCCUUCCCUCCUUCCCUUUUUUCUCCUAACUGUUGCAGCUUAGAUACCCGCGGAUAGGGCGCGGGCCGGGACAAACGCGCGCGCGCGCCACGGAUGAACGCACGCUUUAGCGUCGUAACGGGGCUCGCGAUCACGCGUUACACACGGUGAAAGGAAAAAUGCAUUAUUUCCCCUCCCACGCGGCGGCGGGCGGCAUAUUUUUCUGAUUGCAUCAAGAGGUUACGUGUAUUCACUCGCGUGCAUUGCGCCGCGCGGCGCAUGAUGCGUUUCAGCGGGACAAAAAAAAAAGGAAAGAAAAAAGUCAGGAAAAAGUAAGGAAAAAAAAAACAAAGAAACGCAAUUGAUGUUCAUUUUCACCAGUGUAGAUUAAUUGCGAUCUCGGUUUAAUUUCUUCUUUAUCUUUGUGUAUAAUCCUUAGAGGUGGAAAAAGAUAAAGUGCGAGUUAAAGGCGAGAUGAAAGACGUAAGAGCGAUCACGGCGAGUUUACGAGUCCACCGGGGAGCGAGGUCUAUCCCGACGACCGGUUUGCGUAGCUCGACCGUUUAACUGAUCGUUCAACCGAUCCCACAGCCGCUUUUAUUAAUCUGUCUAUCGCCCCGGAUUAAUUAGAGCGUUCGAGAAAUAACAACGGGCUGACGCAAUUAGAAAUUACAUGGUUUCGGAUAAGGAGGAUUUAUAGGCCAAUUUUCGCCUUUUUGGAUACUCUACCCGACAGAACUCCAUAACGGGAUACACGUGAACGUAUACACGAAGCGUUAUAUUGUGCCUCAGCCUAACCGACUCGCUCCCUCACUAGUCAUUGUUCAUUGUUUUACAACGUUAUUCGCCACACGAUCGCAUCUACGCAAUUUCCCUUUCAUCUCUCUCCCUUCCCUUCCCUCUUCUUCUCUCCAGCCGACUCUGCCGCUCUUUACUCGCUCAAGAGGGUCAAGUGAAAUAACGCUUUAAGUUAUUACAGAAAUAACGGCAGCGAGUUUAAUUAGCGAAGUGGCAUUAAUUAUCGAAAAUUAUAUUCGUCGAUGAAUACCGACAGUCGUUGUCACUCAACCGUCGCCCGUUCUCCUUCUUCGAGCUUCGCUAAUAGCGGAUGGCGAUUUUUACGAGCGUGGCGCCUUCAGUUCGUUGAUAAUUACCUUCUUCUUUCAGUAUCUCUUGUGACUCUUGGAUACGUUAAUGAAAAGGUGAUUAAAGGCUGAUUUUCCAGAGGGACAAAAAGACCGACAGAAUUAAUUCUGUCAGUCCGCGAAAGUUUGUCGCGUCGCACGAGAGCUCAUUUCCGACUCUCCCCUCGUUGUAUCAGACGUGCAUUACAAACCGCCCCUUUCGUGCCGGCGAUGCCUCGGAGGAAGUUUCACGAUUCUCGACUCGAUGAUUCGCUCGCAAGGAGACGCGAUCCUCAGAUCCUCGCGAGAGAAUUGGCAACGUACGACCAGGCGGCGCAUGAUUCUCGCGAGAUCGAUUUUCGCGUAGUACGGGGAUAUAAUUUCACGCUCGCGACCUAAACGUCGAUCCGGCUUUACAUGUCGUACUCGGAGAAGAGGUAGAGGAGAGAUUAACGCACGCACCCAGGAGUCAGCGCUUUAACUCACUUCCUAGCCCUGCGGGCUUUGCAGUCCCGUCAUCUCUUUUUUCCCUCUCCUUUCCAUUUCCUCGCGCCCAUCCGGGUUUUUCACGUCUCUCCUUCCUUUCAUUUUUCGCGGCUCUUCUCCGAGGCAUCUUCGCACCCCUGUCUCUCAUGCAUUUUCUUUCGCUUCCCUUCGCUCGCCCUCCCGUCCCUUUUUCUCGCCGUGCCGACGACGGCUCCGACAAAUUUCAUAAGAGCUGGUCUCCUGGCACGACAGCGCCAGGACUCGACGAGAUUAUCCACGCCGUCGUGCGCGAGUCAUCCACCGGAUUUUCGAUUUUCCUCGCUUCCGACUCGCGAAACUUUCUACGCCGCGAAAGAUAAUAAUUGCCCGACUGAUUGAGAGAAAACGGCAAUACGACACCAGAUAAAUCGCGGCGGCCGCGGGCACCCCGCUGGGUCCGUCUAAUUUUCCAACACGUCGAACUUUCAAACUCGCGACGCGAGUUACUCCUGGCAAGACCUGGUGUUUUCCGCGUCGAGCUACCCGAACUGCGAUGUUGCAGCUCUCGGAUUAUCAAGGCGACUGGGGGGGAAAGAGAGGGAGAGUGCAUUCUGUUCAUAAGUAAUCCGAUUAAGGCCGUACUCUCUCAGGUAGCCCACCGCCGCCGCCGCCUCCUCCUCCUCCUCCUCUUUCGCGAUGUUCUUAUUAAUCCUGUAAAACCGAAGUACGUGUAACGAGAGCGCAAACUCGGAGAAAUUAAUAUUACUGACGAGGGCGCGCGAUAAAUCAACUUUUACGACAGAACUCAAAUAAACGUCGGGGCGGAAACUUUAGAUUAAAACUUGCGUGGCAGUGAAUCGCCCUCUGGUUGUCUCUUAUUUUCCAUCUUCCUCUAUCGCCUUUCGCUCGCCCGCUUUCCGUUGCAACAUCCUUUAGGAAUAUUAAUCGAUUUUUUCAUCGACUUAUUAACUCGUACGUAGCCUCGGUAGAUUAUCUUGUCCUCGAGGGGCGAAUAAAAGGAAACGGCGACGGUACCGUCGCGAUAAUAAAUCGCGAUAAUAAAUCGCGGGCAUAAAGAGGAAUACUCUUCCUCCCGACGCGACGUUCCCAAAUGUAUUAAAUUAAAAAGUGGUUGGGUAUAACGAAGGUGUCGUCCUUGAUCGCGCGAUCUGCCCAUCCUCGGGCGCAUCUCGCGGCUAUUAUUAACCGCGUCGCAGCGUAUUGAAAACCUUGUCCUCACUUUAGCCCGCCGUAGAAAAUCGGCCGUUGACGAAACCUGGCGACGCGAUCGCCGGGUAAGGCCUUGAACCGGCACUCGCGCUGAUACCUGGCCGAGAAAGGAGCCCGACGAUUACGAUCGAGCGAUCGGCCCCGCGCUUAUUGUCGAGAAUAUUCUCGUCGGCCCGUUCCGGCAAUAUCGCGCGCAGAUAUCGCCGUCAUAAAGAAUUAUAAACACCCGAACCGGGUCAGAUUAUUACUAAAUGGAGCGUGCAAAUCGCAGCAUGCAAACUGGCCACGAAGCUGCGUAGAAAACCGCGUUGUCAGCCAACAACUUAUCCUGGCGAAAAGUCGCCGAUUCUUUUUGGCGAUUUGCAACGCGAUGGAAAAGCCCCUGUACUCGGAGCAGUAUGAUACGGAGACAAAUUCGUCACUUCGUGGCACGGCCAAUUUAAUUCGACCGUUUGAAUUAACCAUCGAUGAUUAUUCGCGCGUAUAUUCUUUCCUCAAAUUUUCAUGCAUUAUCGCGCGCGAAUCAUCAAUUAUUUAGCAUGCGGAGGGCUGGUGGCGCACGUCCGUUAUUAUUGACACGAACGUGCUUAAAACAGAGGGGGCCACCAGCCGAAUGUUGUGUCGUUAGCGACCAAUUACCAGAGUUCGAGUAUAUCGCUCGAUAAUAUCCUUCGCAACGGCGCGGCGGGCGUAAAGAGGGAGGGCGAGGACGGUAUUAUGCAGCCGCCAUACGGCCGGUAACUUGUAAGUAGUAACUGUCAAAGUUAUAACGCGAAAAUUACAAUCCCCGUGAUGUAUGAGGCCGUACAAUGCGGCGGCACGCAACGCGAGCGCGUAUUAAUUCGCAAGCGCGCCGCCCACGCGCGCGCUCGCGAUCUCCGCCGCGUAACGUUGCCCACGCAUUUUCAUUCGUAGUCACGUUUUCCGAGCUCCGCCGUUUCAGUCUUACGCCGAAAUUUAUAUCGCGCGCGUUUAACGGCUUAUUAUUUCAGCGCGAGCUGGACUCGCCGGAGUUCAAUUCCUACUCAAAUCUCUUUACUCAAUUCUUCCCUGAACUGCCCCGGAACCUUCGCAUCUGAUUUUCCUGAUAACGUUCCUCAUCGACAUCUAACUAAACAUCCUCGAUGGGGCGAAGACGUCAAUUCCUCUCGCGAUUUUUAACGUCGUUGUCUCGUUCCUCUCGUGAACGUCGACGUCGUUACGAAAUUGAUCGACCUUAUCCUAUACGUGUGCCAUGAAAGGAGUAUUGCGUUGAAAUCGAUCAGAAAUCGAGAGAUCGUGAGAUCGGGGCGUGCUGGUAUCCCCGGACUCACCUCGAUCCGAGGAGACAGGCUUUAAUGACUUCGAACGAUCGACAGAUCUCUCAGAACGAGAACAUUUCGCUAAUCCGGAUUGCGGCAUCCGGAUCGGUCAUUGACACGGAACGGUCUUUCGGUCCCCAUCUAAUUAAUAAAACUUUCUCCAAAGGCAAUAUCAACCCAAUUUACAUCUACAACUUUCGACAACAUCACCUACGUCUCGCUUGUUUUUACUCGCGACUGCGGAAUCGCUUUAACGGAGUGACGUACAGAUCAGCGGGCGCGUAUCGAAAGUCGAUAAACGAAUUUCUCGAGUACGACGAUCGAAAAUUCCAUGUUGGAACACAACGUUCGGCACACCCCACAAUCCGCGCAAUCUCCGAGUACUAGUUUUUCCGUACUUCUCUCGUGAUUCCGACGUGUGGAGCAACAUUCCCGAUAAAUAUAAAGCGCCGCGCGAUAAGCGCGACAGGCAGCCCGGAGAGGGAGGUAGAACCCUCGUGCGUUUGUCGAAAUAACGUUAAUUCCGGCAACCGACCGGCCAGGCACGUGCGACUUAGGCGAGACUGAGUUUCCGCGAGAAUCGGCGGAAACUUUCCGAGAAACACGAAAGGUGCAAACACACUUCUUUUCCGUCUCAAUUUUCCCUCCUUUCGAUCGCGAGCCACACUCCGCUCGGCUCUACGUACAUGGGCACUGGCUGCUCUCUCUUCCUCUCUCCUCCGCGAUUUCUUUUAUUAUCUCGUCGAAUUCGACGAGUGACGUAGAAGAGCGAGAUGGCAUUAGAGGAGAAUUCAAUCUCCCAGCAUCAAGAUUAUUUCUGCAGUCAGUUUAAAAGUCUUGUCCGAUUUUGCGCGAGGCCGAGAGUCUCGGUCUGGCUUGGAAUCAACUGGUGUGGGGGUGCAAUUAGGAUAAUCCACGGGAUAUUAAUUUUCUACGAAUCUCGCGGAGCCAACUCGAAAUUGAGAUUAGCAAUUUAAUAUCGCAACGUUUCCGAAUUUACGACAUUAAACGCGAGAAUCUUGGCCACGGCAAAUCAGCGACGCGUUUUGAAACGGCGCGGUUAGGGUAAUGACGAUUGUAACGACUUACGAAUUUCGAGUCGCCGAAUAUUGCGUAACACGCGCUACAUCCUGCUGCAUUAAAAUCUAUAAUUCCGCCGAAUUUAAUCUAUUAUUUCACGUAGCGAGAACAACGCGCGAGAACCGGUUUUAUUUCAGGUCACCUGCCUUUCCACGGACAAAAAUAAAACGCGUGGAGAAUGACGGAUGAUUAAAUGUGACUCAUUUUUACGUCUACGAAACAAGGAAAUACGCGCCACGGGCUUAGGAGCAAAACGGGUUAAUUGCGCAAGACCAAGUCACAAGGCUGCUUAUCGAAGAAUUCCAGAAGUCACGGCGCGCCUUUGUCUCCUACUGCGUUACAUUCGACGGAGCUCCAACAAUUCUUAAAGACAUCCGCUACGUCGGAAUAUAAAUAAACCCGGAUCUCAUAGAGAUCGAAAUUGAGAUUUUUGUAAUUUCUUCUUUUCACUUUACGAUGCAAUAUCCUUCCGUAUAUGUGGGAAGAACGAUUUUGCUCUAAAAAUUUAGCUGGAUAUGAAAGCAAUUUUAUUGGACCAUCAAAAUAAUUAGGGCAGAACAUUCGAACAAUGCGAUUAAAAGGUUUUGACGUUCCAGCAAUCAAUUUGCGUCCGUUAUUUUUAAACUUGUAUCUGACUGAAUUUUUAGAGCUUAAAUUUUUGCUCGAACCGAAAUCGACUUUUUCCGUGGAAUAUAACAGUACGACGCAAUGAAAUGAUUUUUUUUACACAUCGUUCAAACCAGUAUCCGCGUAACCGCAGCGCGUUGUAACGCGUCGAGAUUCUUUGUUACAUGAUUCCUAUUGAUUGAUGGUUGCAAGCGAGCGAGGAAAUAAAACAUCGGAAUGUUAAGAGAAGGCAAUUUAAAUCAGUCGGCGCAGCGAGAUACCGGCGGGCGCAGGGAGGGAAAAAGCUCGGGGAGGGACGGGGGGGAAUCUCAUUUCAAUGAAAACGUCCGUUGGCUUCAUACCGGCAAAUGCAAAACGUCGUCGAACAUAGUCAAUAUCGGCGCGCUCGCUGUACGCAUCUGCAUAGCCGGAAUAUUUCCCGCCAAUCGGUUUCUCAUUCAUCGCCUCGCCCGUCGUCGUGGAAAGUUGGCUUCGCGGUGCGUAAUGCAGUCGAUAAAUUUCUUGGCAAGUAUCCCUUCCCCCCUUUCCGCAUUUUAAUCGCCCGCCGGGCAUGUCGUUAAUCUUUCCUCGUGUUUAUCUGCAAAAGCAGUGUUGCGGAGAAUGAAUCGACAACAUGUCUUGCCUACAGCAUCCUUCUAACGUAUCUCGAAAAUAAGCUCUUAAAGAAAAAAAGUGGUUGUUACCGCUUCUCUAUUUUUGUAGAUUAAACGUGCGUCAUUUGAGACUGAUUCAAGUGUAUUACGGAUCGUUAUGCACUGCGGUGUUCUCUACAAUUUUGUGAAUUACGUGUAGUGAAAGAGGUGCACUUCUCGUCCGGGUGUGUGCAGUACUUUCGCGUCGGUAUAAACGAAAAGCCAUAAAGUGAAGCUUUCCAUCGACAACUUUGGACGAGACCAGAGGCAUUCUUCGUCUCUCUCUCUCUCUCUCUUCCUCCCCCUCACUCCCUUUUUCCUUCACUCUCGGCUCAGCUCGAGAAUACGUGUGUACGCCUCCUGGACGUACUUCCAUACUCCCCGAGACUGACGCAGGCGUGGUACGUGCACCGAAGGUUUUAUAGUAUUAACUGAAAUUGCAACAGUCCCCGUAAAGUAGGAGGCUUUAGUAGUAACCGGGUGUGUGUGCACGCGGAGAUAUACAGGGUGGCCGGAGAAUGAAGGCGCGCCUCGCCCGUGUUUCGAAACGAGAAAAUCGAUGACUUUCUCUUCGUCGCUCAGUCAUCGACUACCUGCGGGUUGUCGGUUGUCAUCGCGGUUGACAAUCAUGGUGAUCGUUAUGUCCACGAGAUUAGAGUCGCGAGUCCCCCACGCGAUUGGUUCUGCCAGUUAGCUGUCGUUAAUCCAAAUGGAACACGUAUAUCAUUAUCAAAUCGCCCGCAGAUUUACGCGUGUGAACGAGCUAACCUUUCGUACCAACGCCCGUCUCGGCGUCGAGGGUAAAGGCAGUCACAGCAAACGGCGGUCGGAGCAGCAAGGUAUCGAAGCGGGCGAAACCCCUCGAUCCCGAUGAAGACGACUAUUACUACGAUGAUCCCGUGGACGAGAGGAACAAUCCGACGAACGAGGCGCCGGCAGUGCCGCCCGGAUUCCUGA